GGAAAUUAUUGAACCAGAAGGUAUGGCCGGAUAAUGGGUGGAUGUCUGGCCAAGAUUGGUUGGAGAGCAGCCCUUGGGUUGGAAAGUCCGUUGCAGGAAGAUCUAGUUAUUGGAGGCGGAAUGGUUGUGGCGGAGAUGAACAUUGUUUGGCAGAAAAGUCAUACUCAGGUAUUGUGAUUUUCUGCUGUAAGCUUUUUACAUCUUUUUUCUUGAGCAUUAAAUGGCUUUGGAGAAAAAUGUUUAGGAUAAGUUCAUCAAGAGAAGACAAUUUAUCUGAUUCUGAGCAUAGGGGGCUACUGGCCAAGAUGGGUGAGA
rnacentral:misc_RNA from 1 species